AUUGAACGCUGGCGGCAGGCCUAACACAUGCAAGUCGAACGGUAACAGGAAACCGCUUGCUGUUUCGCUGACGAGUGGCGGACGGGUGCGUGAUGUCUGGGAAACUGCCUGAUGGAGGGGGAUAACUACUGGAAACGGUAGCUAAUACCGCAUAACGUCGCAAGACCAAAGAGGGGGACCUUCGGGCCUCUUGCCAUCGGAUGUGCCCAGAUGGGAAUAGCUAGUAGGUGGGGUAACGGCUCACCAAGGCGACGAUCCCUAGCUGGUCUGAGAGGAUGACCAGCCACACGGGACCUGGGACACGGUCCAGGCUCCUACGGGAGGCAGCAGCUGGGAAUAUUGCACAAUGGGCGCAAGCCUGAUGCAACCAUGCCGCGUGUAUGAAGAAGGCCUGCGGGUUGUAAAGUACAUUCAGCGGGGAGAAAGUGAGUAAAGUUAAUACCUGUACUCAUUGACGUUACCCGCAGAAGAAGCACCGGCUAACUCCGUG
rnacentral:rRNA from 1 species